ensembl:lncRNA
AACACAAUUACUUUUUCCUCUUUGUGUCAAAGGUUGAAACCAGAUAAAGGAGUGUCUCCAGUGCCCUCCCGCAUAUCUCUACAAAGUAACGAGUCAGUGGGUAAACCAAUACUGUUCAAAGAUGGAGCUCAAAGCAAGGAAAGGUUGAGACGAGGUCAAUCAACAUCUCCAGCACCUUCAGUCACAUUUUUACAAAGUGACCAGUCACUGGAUCGACCGAUAUUGUUCAAAGAUGGAGCACAGCAUAAAAAGGGGAAUAAAAGGUUGAGACCAAGUCAAGCAGCAUCACCUACCCCUUCAUGCACAUCUCUACAAAGUGACCAGUCACUAGAUCAUCCGAUACUGUUCAAAGAUGGAUCAGAGAUUUUCCUUAUGAAUAAAAGAAUGAGACCAGAUAAAACUACAUCUCCAGCCCCUUUUUCUACUUCUCUACAAAGUGACCAGUCACUGGAUCGACAGAUACUGUUCAAAAAUGGAACUCUGGGGAAUGAAAGGCUGAGACCAAAGAAAACUACAUCUCCAGCACCGUCCAGCACAUCUCUGAAAAGUGACCAAUCACUGGAUCAACCGAUAUGGUUCAAAGAUGGAGCACAGAGUAUAAGGCUGAGACCAAAGAAAACUACAUCUCCAGCACCGUCCAGCACAUCUCUGAAAAGUGACCAGUCACUGGAUCAACCGAUAUGGUUCAAAGAUGGAGCACAGAGUAUAAGGUAGAUUACUGAGUAAUGCAUAAUAAACACAGACCCACACACA